UACGAAGGGGGCUAGCGUUUGCUCGGGAAUCAAGCUGGGCGUAAAGGGUGCGUAGGCGGGUUUUAAGUCAGAGGUGAAAUCCUGGAGCUCAACUCAGACUGCCUUUGAUACUGAAAGUCUUGAGUAUGGGAGAGGUGAGUGGAAACUGCGAGUGUAGAGGUGAAAUUCGUAGAUAUUCGCAAGAACACCAGUGGCGAAGGCGGCUCACUGGCCCAUUACUGACGCUG
rnacentral:rRNA from 1 species